rnacentral:rRNA from 1 species
AUUGAACGCUGGCGGCAGGCCUAACACAUGCAAGUCGAACGAGUGGCGGACGGGUGAGUAAUGUCUGGGAAACUGCCUGAUGGCGGGGGUUAACUACUGGAAACGGUAGCUAAUACCGCAUACCAUCGGAUGUUCCCAGAUGGGAUUAGCUAGUAGGUGGGGUAAAGGCUCACCUAGGCGACGAUCCCUAGCUGGUCUGAGAGGAUGACCAGCCACACGGGAACUGAGACACGGUCCAGACUCCUACGGGAGGCAGCAGUGGGGAAUAUUGCCCAAUGGGCGCAAGCCUGAUGCAGCCAUGCCGCGUGUAUGAGGAAGGCCUUCGGGUUGUAAAGUACUUUCAGCGGGGAGGCGUUACCCGCAGAGAAAGCACCGGCUAACUCCGUGCCAGCAGCCGCGGUAAUUC